UGUAAUGUUGCAAAAUUUGUGCAUCAGUUGCUGAUAACAAUAUGCACGAGUUGGCAGUGGCCAGUGUGCCAUCGUUUCCGCGUCGUUCGAUCGCGCCAACGGGGUACGGGGGUCUGCCGUCCUCCGAACUACUGUCCGCACCACGGUCAUUAUUCUACAGUCCGCGUAGCCAUGUAGUACGUAAUUCUUUGUUCGACCGAAAACCGACCCGAGCCCGUGUAAAAUAAUCUACGGUUCGCCUUAGAUCGGCACCGACAACCGUCGUCCUACAGUUACGAUUCGACAGUGGGAUUGAUACGACAUCGUAAGCCCAAACUGUCCGCGCCGAGUGGGUCUCAAAACAAAAAGAAAAACACACUUUUUUUUGUCAUGAUGUUCGGCGCCAACAUGAUGGGCUAGACGUACCGACUGUGGUCUGCGGUGGAUCGCGAACGAAGGAGCCGUGCGACAACAACGACAACAGCAACAACAACAGUAAUAUCAGUCAGGAUAACCAAAAACCCCCUAAAAUUUACCGAAUUUAUAAUAUUUUUGUUUUUUUUUUUAUUUUAUCUCAGCACUUUUCCUACUUUUGUUUUCCCCCUCUAGUCCAUUUCUAAAAUUCUAAAAUUCACGUUACAAAAUUAUAAUAAAUAUAAAAUCAUUGAUGGAC